rnacentral:rRNA from 1 species
UACGGGGGGAGCAAGCGUUGUUCGGAUUUACUGGGCGUAAAGGGCGCGUAGGCGGUCAGCACAAGUCAGUUGUGAAAUCUCCAGGCUUAACUCGGAAAGGUCAACUGAUACUGUGCGACUAGAGUGCAGAAGGGGCAACUGGAAUUCUCGGUGUAGCGGUGAAAUGCGUAGAUAUCGAGAGGAACACCUGCGGCGAAGGCGGGUUGCUGGGCUGACACUGACGCUGAGGCGCGAAAGCCAGGGGAGCGAACGGG